UCUCUGUUCGUAUAUCGGUUAGUACACGCGCCUGUCAUUGCAGCCGCCUCAAUAAAUGCACUUUCCGCGCGAAAGCUGGGUUCAAUUCCCAGACAGAGAG